rnacentral:rRNA from 1 species
UACAGAGGGGGCAAGCGUUGUUCGGAAUUACUGGGCGUAAAGGGCGCGUAGGCGGCCUGUUAAGUCGAACGUGAAAUCCCUGGGCUCAACCCAGGAACUGCGUCCGAUACUGGCAGGCUUGAAUUCGGGAGAGGGAUGCGGAAUUCCAGGUGUAGCGGUGAAAUGCGUAGAUAUCUGAAGGAACACCAGUGGCGAAAGCGGCUUCCUGGUCCAGUACCGACGUUCAGGCACGAAAGCGUGGGGAGCAAACAGG